GACGAACGCUGGCGGCGUGCUUAACACAUGCAAGUCGAACGGAAAGGCCCCUUUGGGGGUACUCGAGUGGCGAACGGGUGAGUAACACGUGAGUAACCUGCCCUUGACUUCGGGAUAACUUCAGGAAACUGGGGCUAAUACCGGAUAGGAAUCCUUGCUGCAUGGUGGGGGUUGGAAAGCUUCGGCGGUUUUGGAUGGACUCGCGGCUUAUCGGCUUGUUGGUGGGGUAGUGGCUUACCAAGGCUUUGACGGGUAGCCGGCCUGAGAGGGCGACCGGCCACAUUGGGACUGAGAUACGGCCCAGACUCCUACGGGAGGCAGCAGUGGGGAAUAUUGCACAAUGGGCGGAAGCCUGAUGCAGCAACGCCGCGUGCGGGAUGACGGCCUUCGGGUUGUAAACCGCGUUCAGCAGGGGCGAAGCUUGUGGUGACGGUACCUGCAGAAGAAGCACCGGCUAACUACGUG
rnacentral:rRNA from 1 species